rnacentral:tRNA from 1 species
CAGACCAAAAGCUGACAUAGAUGGUAUGGGUCAAUUUUUUUUUGUUGAUGUCUUCCAUCUCUUAACUUAUUCCAUAAAGGAGCCGAAUGAAAC